UGAGCUGCUGGGCAGGGAGCCUCAGGCUCUGGGUCUGAGUGUCCCUUCAGCUCUGUAGUUGGCAGGAGGUCGCUGCUCCUCAGUCCCUC